CCUACGGGAGGCAGCAGUAAGGAAUAUUGGUCAAUGGAGGCAACUCUGAACCAGCCAUGCCGCGUGCAGGAAGACAGCCCUCUGGGUCGUAAACUGCUUUUAUUCGGGAAUAAACCUUAUUACGUGUAAUAAGCUGAAUGUACCGAAGGAAUAAGGAUCGGCUAACUCCGUGCCAGCAGCCGCGGUAAUACGGAGGAUCCAAGCGUUAUCCGGAUUUAUUGGGUUUAAAGGGUGCGUAGGCGGCUUAUUAAGUCAGGGGUGAAAGACGGUGGCUCAACCAUCGCAGUGCCUUUGAUACUGAUGAGCUUGAAUGAACUAGAGGUAGGCGGAAUGUGACAAGUAGCGGUGAAAUGCAUAGAUAUGUCACAGAACACCGAUUGCGAAGGCAGCUUACUAUGGUUUUAUUGACGCUGAGGCACGAAAGCGUGGGGAUCAAACAGGAUUAGAUACCCUGGUAGUCCACGCCCUAAACGAUGAAUACUCGCUGUUAGCGAUAUACAGUUAGCGGCUAAGCGAAAGCGUUAAGGAUUCCACCUGGGGAGUACGCCCGCAAGGGUGAAACUCAAAGGAAUUGACGG
rnacentral:rRNA from 1 species